UGUCUCCUGCGGCGUUCGACAAUCGCUCUAAUCCCCUUGAGCCUAAUUGCAAAACCCCGGGAGCCAAUUCUGUUUGGGCGUGCAGGCCCGCGUUAUCGGCGGGAAGCCCGAAGAACGGAUUGCGGCACCCACUUGAGACCUCGUCUCAAGGUACCGAGCGAAUGACGGCGCAGGCGGGAGACAC
rnacentral:other from 1 species